rnacentral:rRNA from 1 species
AACGUAGGAGACGAACGUUAUCCGGAGUUACUGGGCGUAAAGGGCGUGUAGGCGGUUUGUUAAGUCUGGCGUGAAAGCUCUCGGCUAAACCGGGAGAGGUCGUUGGAUACUGGCAAACUAGAGGAUGGUAGAGGCAGGCGGAAUUCCGGGUGUAGCGGUGGAAUGCGUAGAGAUCCGGAAGAACACCGGUGGCGAAGGCGGCCUGCUGGGCAGUUUAGCUGACACUGAGGCGCGACAGCGUGGGGAGCAAACAGG